rnacentral:rRNA from 1 species
AGCGAACGCUGGCGGCAGGCCUAACACAUGCAAGUCGAACGAACCUUUCGGGGUUAGUGGCGGACGGGUGAGUAACACGUGGGAACGUGCCUUUAGGUUCGGAAUAACUCAGGGAAACUUGUGCUAAUACCGAAUGUGCCCUUCGGGGGAAAGAUUAAUCGCCUUUAGAGCGGCCCGCGUCUGAUUAGCUAGUUGGUUGAGGUAAUGGCUCACCAAGGCGACGAUCAGUAGCUGGUCUGAGAGGAUGAUCAGCCACAUUGGGACUGAGACACGGCCCAAACUCCUACGGGAGGCAGCAGUGGGGAAUCUUGCGCAAUGGGCGAAAGCCUGACGCAGCCAUGCCGCGUGAAUGAUGAAGGUCUUAGGAUUGUAAAAUUCUUUCACCGGGGACGAUAAUGACGGUACCCGGAGUAGAAGCCCCGGCUAACUUCGUG